AGGGCUAUAGCUCAGUUAGGUAGAGCACCUCGUUUACACCUACGGUUCGAGUCCGUAUAGCCCUACC
rnacentral:tRNA from 1 species